rnacentral:rRNA from 1 species
GAUGAACGCUGGCGGCAUGCCUAAUACAUGCAAGUCGAGCGAACGGACGAGAAGCUUGCUUCUCUGAUGUUAGCGGCGGUCGGGUGAGUAACACGUGGAUAACCUACCUAUCAGACUGGGAUAACUUUGGGAAACCGUAGCUACUACCGGAUAAUUUUUUGAACCUCAUUGUUCACAAGUUAAAGUCGGUCUUUCUGUCACUUAUAGAUUGACACGCGCUGCAUCAGCUAGUUGGUAAGGUAACGGCUUACCAACGCAACGAGGGAUAGCCGACCUGAGAGGGAGGACGGCCACACGGGAACUGAGACACGGUCGAGACUCCUACGGGAGGAAGCAGUAGAGAAUCUUCCGCGAGGGGGGAAAGCGUGACAGAGCAACGCCGCGUGAGUGAUGAAGCUCUUCGGAUCGGAAAACGCUGUUAGUAGGAAAGAUCAAAUGUGUAAGUAACUGUGCACAUCUUGACGGUACCUAAUCAGAAAGCCACGGCUAACUACGUG